CUGAGUUGGGGGGGGUACUGUGUGUAUUAUACAGCUACUCACUGGUCCUGUAGGGUGUCUGAGUUGGGGUGGUACUGAGUGUCAGCCUUGAUGCAAAGUGAUCAAAUGUGAUGAAUAAAAAAGGAGAAUACGUUUGGGCUUCUAUGCCUAAUCAUCAGUGCUGUUUAUCACCUGUUAGCACUUUUCACUGGCACUUUUUGCAUCUCGGCCUCCUUGGUUUUUCCUUUGCAUGAUUUGUGGGUGAGUAGCUACGUAUUACAGACAGUAAGGGGCGCCAUAGGACAAAAAAAGGACAUUGUUACCAUAGCAGGAUCAUUAUUCAUUAGUGCAUACAUGAGCAAAACGUAGGCAAACAAUUUGCACUGGAAAACGAAAACGAGCGUUUCUUAUUGGACAACCUCAGGUAUUUUCCUGUGUUUGGUACCUAAUGAAUAGGCUGCAACCCGGCUCAGCUGCUGCAAAGAUGCCUGACAGAAAUACUAGGAUGGAAGCAAAUGGACUCCUGAAACAACCAGCAAACCAGGCUGUCGUCUUGUAAAACAGUGGAUGUAAAUAAUCUAGCUAGGUAAAGCAUUUACUGCAAAUUGAAUGUACAAUUUUGUAAGCUUGCCUUGUUGAAUACGUAACUAGCAAACUAUUUUCUUGUUUAUUGUGUAGUGGAGGAUAAAAAUACCUGUAUGCCUAUGAUGUGUAGCCGAUCUGUGUAUGGACCCAAACGUUUGGUAUACAUAUUAGUUCAGAACCUAGCUAUGAACCUCAGCUAUCAUAGCCGGUUGUAUCAACUUCAAAACAGUCUGACUGGCAUCAAUGAAGCCUAUGGAUUGAGUAUAAUAUAAUAUAACUUUGUGCCAAGGAUGCAAGUUAUUACCAAGCAUGAUAUCCCCACAUUGUAGCCUGUACAUUGAAUAUAUUCACGGAUCAUGUACUCUACCUUGGCAAAUAAAGCUGCGGUUCAGGUA